rnacentral:rRNA from 1 species
UAAGUGAAGAGUUUGAUCCUGGCUCAGAGUGAACGCUGGCGGCAGGCCUAAUACAUGCAAGUCGAACGGCAGCACAGCAGAGCUUGCUCUGUGGGUGGCGAGUGGCGGACGGGUGAGGAAUACAUGGGAAUCUGCCCAGUCGUGGGGGAUAACGUAUGGAAACGUACGCUAAUACCGCAUGCGCCCUUUGGGGGAAAGCCGGGGACCUUCGGGCCUGGCGCGAUUGGAUGAGCCCAUGUUCGAUUAGCUAGUUGGCGGGGUAAAGGCCCACCAAGGCGACGAUCGAUAGCUGGUCUGAGAGGAUGAUCAGCCACACUGGGACUGAGACACGGCCCAGACUCCUACGGGAGGCAGCAGUAGGGAAUAUUGGACAAUGGGCGCAAGCCUGAUCCAGCCAUGCCGCGUGAGUGAAGAAGGCCCUCGGGUUGUAAAGCUCUUUUGUUGGGGAAGAAAAGCAGUCGGUUAAUACCUGAUUGUUCUGACGGUACCCAAAGAAUAAGCACCGGCUAACUUCGUGCCAGCAGCC